UACGUAGGGGGCAAGCGUUGUCCGGAAUCAUUGGGCGUAAAGAGCGUGUAGGCGGCUUGGUAAGUCUGCUGUGAAAGUCCAGGGCUCAACCCUGGAAAGCCGGUGGAAACUGUCAAGCUAGAGUCCGGAAGAGGCGAGUGGAAUUCCUGGUGUAGCGGUGAAAUGCGCAGAUAUCAGGAGGAACACCAAUGGCGAAGGCAGCUCGCUGGGACGGUACUGACGCUGAGACGCGAAAGCGUGGGGAGCAAACAGGAUUAGAAACCCCCGUAGUCC
rnacentral:rRNA from 1 species